rnacentral:rRNA from 1 species
UACGUAGGGGGCAAGCGUUGUCCGGAUUUAUUGGGCGUAAAGAGCGUGUAGGCGGCUAGGUAGGUCCGUUGUGAAAACUCGAGGCUCAACCUCGAGACGCCGAUGGAAACCAUCUGGCUAGAGUCCGGAAGAGGAGAGUGGAAUUCCUGGUGUAGCGGUGAAAUACGCAGAUAUCAGGAGGAACACCAAUGGCGAAGGCAGCUCGCUGGAACGGUACUGACGCUGAGGCGCGAAAGCGUGGGGAGCGAACAGG